rnacentral:rRNA from 1 species
AUAUUGGUCAAUGGACGCAAGUCUGAACCAGCCAUGCCGCGUGAAGGAUGAAGGUCCUCUGGAUUGUAAACUUCUUUUAUCUGGGACGAAAACGGGAUUUUUAUCUCAAUUGACGGUACCAGAGGAAUAAGCACCGGCUAACUCCGUGCCAGCAGCCGCGGUAAUACGGAGGGUGCGAGCGUUAUCCGGAUUUACUGGGUUUAAAGGGUGCGUAGGUGGGCUUAUAAGUCAGUGGUGAAAUCUCCGAGCUUAACUUGGAAACUGCCGUUGAUACUAUAGGUCUUGAAUUAUCUGGAGGUAAGCGGAAUAUGUCAUGUAGCGGUGAAAUGCUUAGAUAUGACAUAGAACACCAAUUGCGAAGGCAGCUUACUACAUAUAAAUUGACGCUGAGGCACGAAAGCGUGGGG